UACGAAGGGUGCAAACGUUGCUCAGAAUCAUUGGGCGUAAAGCGCACGUAGGCGGCCUCAAAAGUCGGAUGUGAAAUCCCGUGGCUCAACCAUGGACGUGCAUUCGAAACUGCGAGGCUUGAGUAUGGAAGAGGGUCGCGGAAUUCCCGGUGUAGAGGUGAAAUUCGUAGAUAUCGGAAGGAACACCAGUGGCGAAGGCGGCGACCUGGGCCAAUACUGACGCUGAGGUGCGAAAGCGUGGGGAGCAAACAGG
rnacentral:rRNA from 1 species